rnacentral:lncRNA from 1 species
AUAACUUGUCAUCAAGGAGAGCAUUGUGGGAGGCUUGUUGCUUCAUCCAGCAGGCUCCACCCUAGUUCGUAGACAAUUUUUCGUCCUUCAAGAAGUCGAAGAGGGGAUCAAUCUAGCUCGGCUCGACAAUAGUGUUUAUCAUGACCUCGGGCUCGUCGAUGCUCGGCUUCUCUAGGACUUCGAGAGAUGUAGCUUUGGUCGGGUCGACAAUCUUCGAGGUGGCUAGUUUUGACAGCAGGUCGACCCUUGCAUUCUCCGUAUGAGAAAUCUAAUGUAUAUCAAAGCUAUGAAAGGCUAAAGUGAUGUCGUUUACUUUCUGUAGAUAUAUGAUCAUCGAUGGCCACCGAGCUUCGAAUUCUCUUCGAACUUGGCCGACGAUCAAUUGUGAGUCUUUGAAGACCUUCAACUGCUGGACCCAUGCUCCUUGGAAAGCUUGAGCCUGGUGAUGAGCACUUCAUAUUUAGCCUUCUUAUUUAAGGUCGAAAACUUGAAUCGCAGAGCGUACUCUAUGAUUACUCCAUCUGGGCUGGUAAGUAUGAGCCCAACCCUACUGCCCCCUAGGUUUGAUGACUCGUCUACGUGCAGGAUCCAUAACCACUCUGUGGUCUUUAUUUUGGAGAGCUCGGCAGGAUCUUCAUUAGGGAUGGUGCAUUCCACCAGAAAGUAUGCCAACCCUUUUGCCUUGAUGGACGGCCUAGGUUGGUACUCCAAGUCGAAUUCUUCGAGCUUCACUGCCCACUUCACCAACUAAUCUGCAUUUCUGGGCUUUCUUAUAAUUUGCCUCACUGGCUGGUCGGUCAAGAUUGUGACUGAAUGGGUCUAGAAAUAUGGGCGGAGCUUCCGAGCUGA